GAUGAAGAACGCAGCGAAAUGCGAUAAGUAAUGUGAAUUGCAGAAUUCAGUGAAUCAUCGAAUCUUUGAACGCACAUUGCGCCCGUCAGUAUUCUGGCGGGCAUGCCUGUUCGAGCGUCAUUACGCCCCUCAAGUCCCCUGUGGACUUGGAGUUGGGGAUCGGCGAGGCUGGUUUUCCAGCACAGCCGUCCCUUAAAUUAAUUGGCGGUCUCGCCGUGGCCCUCCUCUGCGCAGUAGUAAAACACUCGCAACAGGAGCCCGGCGCGGUCCACUGCCGUAAAACCCCCCAACUUUUUAUAGUUGACCUCGAAUCAGGUAGGACUACCCGCUGAACUUAAGCAUAUCAAUAAGCGGAGGA
rnacentral:misc_RNA from 1 species